rnacentral:rRNA from 1 species
UACGGAGGGAGCUAGCGUUGUUCGGAAUUACUGGGCGUAAAGCGCGCGUAGGCGGCUUAUCAAGUCAGGGGUGAAAUCCCGGGGCUCAACCCCGGAACUGCCUCUGAAACUGGUAGACUAGAAUCCUGGAGAGGUGAGUGGAAUUCCGAGUGUAGAGGUGAAAUUCGUAGAUAUUCGGAAGAACACCAGUGGCGAAGGCGACUCACUGGACAUGUAUUGACGCUGAGGUGCGAAAGCGUGGGGAGCAAACAGG